rnacentral:rRNA from 1 species
UACGAAGGGGGCUAGCGUUGUUCGGAAUCACUGGGCGUAAAGCGCACGUAGGCGGCUUGUUAAGUCAGGGGUGAAAUCCUGGAGCUCAACUCCAGAACUGCCUUUGAUACUGCAAAUCUCGAGUCCGGAAGAGGUGAGUGGAAUUCCUAGUGUAGAGGUGAAAUUCGUAGAUAUUAGGAAGAACACCAGUGGCGAAGGCGGCUCACUGGUCCGGUACUGACGCUGAGGCGCGAAAGCCAGGGGAGCAAACGGG